rnacentral:rRNA from 1 species
UCUGAAUAUGGGGGGACCAUCCUCCAAGGCUAAAUACUCCUGACUGACCGAUAGUGAACCAGUACCGUGAGGGAAAGGCGAAAAGAACCCCGGCGAGGGGAGUGAAAAAGAACCUGAAACCGUGUACGUACAAGCAGUGGGAGCACGCUUCGGCGUGUGACUGCGUACCUUUUGUAUAAUGGGUCAGCGACUUAUAUUCUGUAGCAAGGUUAACCGAAUAGGGGAGCCGAAGGGAAACCGAGUCUUAACUGGGCGUUAAGUUGCAGGGUAUAGACCCGAAACCCGGUGAUCUAGCCAUGGGCAGGUUGAAGGUUGGGUAACACUAACUGGAGGACCGAACCGACUAAUGUUGAAAAAUUAGCGGAUGACUUGUGGCUGGGGGUGAAAGGCCAAUCAAACCGGGAGAUAGCUGGUUCUCCCCGAAAGCUAUUUAGGUAGCGCCUCGUGAAUUCAUCUCCGGGGGUAGAGCACUGUUUCGGCAAGGGGGUCAUCCCGACUUACCAACCCGAUGCAAACUGCGAAUACCGGAGAAUGUUAUCACGGGAGACACACGGCGGGUGCUAACGUCCGUCGUGAAGAGGGAAACAACCCAGACCGCCAGCUAAGGUCCCAAAGUCAUGGUUAAGUGGGAAACGAUGUGGGAAGGCCCAGACAGCCAGGAUGUUGGCUUAGAAGCAGCCAUCAUUUAAAGAAAGCGUAAUAGCUCACUGGUCGAGUCGGCCUGCGCGGAAGAUGUAACGGGGCUAAACCAUG